GACGAACGCUGGCGGCGUGCUUAACACAUGCAAGUCGAACGGAAAGGCCCUGCGUUUGUGGGGUGCUCGAGUGGCGAACGGGUGAGUAACACGUGAGUAACCUGCCCUUGACUUUGGGAUAACUUCAGGAAACUGGGGCUAAUAUCGUAUAGGAGCUCCUGCUGCAUGGUGGGGGUUGGAAAGUUUCGGCGGUUGGGGAUGGACUCGCGGCUUAUCAGCUUGUUGGUGGGGUAGUGGCUUACCAAGGCUUUGAAGGGUAGCCGGCCUGGGAGGGUGACCGGCCACCUUGGGCCUGAGAUACGGCCCAGAGUCCUACGGGAGGCAGCAGUCGGGAAUAUGGCACAGUGGGCGGACGCCUGAUGCAGCAACGCCGCGUGCGGGAUGACGGCCUUCGGGUUGUAAACCGCUUUCGCCUGUGACGAAGCGUGUGUGACGGUAAUGGGUAAAGAAGCACCGGCUAACUACGUG
rnacentral:rRNA from 1 species